GAUCAUGGCUCAGGACGAACGCUGGCGACGUGCCUAAUACAUGCAAGUCGAACGCUUCACUUCGGUGAAGAGUGGCGAACGGGUGAGUAAUACAUAAGUAACCUGGCAUCUACAGGGGGAUAACUGAUGGAAACGUCAGCUAAGACCGCAUAGGUGUAGAGAUCGCAUGAACUCUAUAUGAAAAGUGCUACGGGACUGGUAGAUGAUGGACUUAUGGCGCAUUAG
rnacentral:rRNA from 1 species